UGUAAACAUCUUUAACUGAAAGC
rnacentral:miRNA from 1 species